CUACGGGAGGCAGCAGUGGGGAAUAUUGGACAAUGGGGGAAACCCUGAUCCAGCAAUGCCGCGUGUGUGAAGAAGGCCUGCGGGUUGUAAAGCACUUUCGGUUGGGAGGACUGCUUCUAGCACUAAUAUUGUUGGAAGUUGACGUUACCUUCAGAAGAAGCACCGGCUAACUCCGUGCCAGCAGCCGCGGUAAUACGGAGGGUGCAAGCGUUAAUCGGAAUUACUGGGCGUAAAGCGCGCGUAGGCGGCUAGAUCAGUCGGGUGUGAAAGCCCCGGGCUUAACCUGGGAACUGCAUCCGAUACUGUCUAGCUUGAGUACAGGAGAGGAGAGCGGAAUUCCACAUGUAGCGGUGAAAUGCGUAGAUAUGUGGAGGAACACCAAUGGCGAAGGCAGCUCUCUGGCCUGAUACUGACGCUGAGGUGCGAAAGCGUGGGGAGCAAGCAGGAUUAGAUACCCCUGUAGUC
rnacentral:rRNA from 1 species